UGGUGGAGUGAUUUGUCUGCUUAAUUGCGAUAACGAACGAGACCUUAACCUGCUAAAUAGUGAGGCGGAGCCUAGCUCCGUAACUAACUUCUUAGAGGGACAGGUGGCGUUUAGCCACACGAGAUUGAGCAAUAACA
rnacentral:rRNA from 1 species